rnacentral:rRNA from 1 species
UACAGAGGCCUCGAGCGUUAGGCGGAAUCACUGGGCUUAAAGCGUGUGUAGGCGGAUCGUUAAGUACCUUGUGAAAUCCCACGGCUCAACCGUGGAACUGCUGGGUAUACUGGCGGUCUUGAGCCACCUAGGGGCGAGCGGAACAAGCGGUGGAGCGGUGAAAUGCGUAGAUAUCGCUUGGAACGCCAACGGUGAAAACAGCUCGCUGGGGGUGUGCUGACGCUGAGGCACGAAAGCCAGGGGAGCGAACGGG